CCCUUAGAUGUUCCGGGCCGCACGCGCGCUACACUGACGAAGUCAGCGAGCAUCUCCUACGCCGAAAGGUGCGGGGAAUCUUGUGAAACUUUGUCGUGCUGGGGAUUGAUUUUUGAAAUUCUUGAUCAUAAACGAGGAAUUCCUAGUAAGCGCAAGUCAGCAGCUUGCGUUGAUUACGUCCCUGCCCUUUGUACACACCGCCCGUCGCUACUACCGAUUGAAUGGUUUAGUGAGAUGUUUGGACCGGAACUCUCUUGCUCAGCAAUGGGCGAGAGAGAGUCUGGGAAGUCCCUCUAACUGUAUCAUUUAGAGGAAGUAAAAGUCGUAACA
rnacentral:rRNA from 1 species